CCCAUCACAUUCUACAGGGUUGUAUUGAGAGCAUCCUGAGCAGCUGCAUCACUGCCCGGUUCGGGAAUUGCGCCGUCUCGGAUCGCAAGACCCUGCAGCGGAUAGUGAGGUCAGCUGAGAAGAUCAUCGGGGUCUCUCUUCCCGCCAUCACUACACGCUGCAUCCACAAAGCAAACAGCAUUAUGAAGGACCCCACGCACCCCUCAUACAAACUCUUCUCCCUCCUGCCGUCUGGGAAAAGGGUCCAAAGCAUUCGGGCUCUCACGACCAGACUAUAUAACAGUUUCUUCACCCAAGCCAUCAGACUCCUCAAUACCACGAGACUGGACUGACACCAACUUACAGCCCUCUACUGUGCCCCAUUGUCUUGUUUAAUAUUUAUUGUAAUGCCUGCACUGUUUUGUGCGCUUUAUGCAGUCCUGGGUAGGUGUGUAGUCUAGUGUAGUUUGCAUGCCGUUUUACGUAGUUGAGUACAGUUUUGCAUUGUUUCAGGUAGUUGAGUGUAGUUUUGUGUUGUUUCAGGUAGUCGAGUGUAGUUUUGUGUUGUUUCAGGUAGUCGAGUAUAGUUUUGUGUUGUUUCAGGUAGUCAAGUGUAGUUUUGUGUUGUUUCAGGUAGUCGAGUGUAGUUUUGUGUUGUUUCAGGUAGUCGAGUGUAGUUUUGUGUUGUUUCAGGUAGUCUAGUGGAGUUUUGUGUUGCUUCAGAUAGUCUAGUGCAGUUUUUGUGUUGUUGCAGGUAGACCAGUGUAGUUUUGUGGUCUUUCAGGCAGUCGAGUGUAGUUUUGUGUUGUUUCAGGUAGUCUAGUGUAGUUUUUUGUUGUUUCGUGUAGUCGAGUGUAGUUUUGUGUUGCUUCGUGUAGUCCAGUGUAGUUUUGUGGUGUUUCAGGUCGUCAAGUGUAGUUUUUGGGGUGUUUCAGGUAGUCGAGUGUAGUUUUGUGUUGUUUCAUGUAGUCGAGUGUAGUUUUGUGUUCUUUCAGGUAGUCUGGUGUACUUUUGUGUUCUUUCAUGUAGUCGGGUGUAGUUUUGUGUUGUUUCAGGUAGUAAAGUGUAGUUUUGUGUUGUUUCAGGUAGUAAAGUGUAGUUUUGUGUUGUUUCAGGUAGUCUGGUGUACUUUUGUGUUCUUUCAUGUAGUCGGGUGUAGUUUUUUGUUUUUUCACAUAGUUUAGUCUGGUUUUGUGUUGUUGCAGGUAGUCCUGUGUAGUUUUGUGGUGUUUCAGGUAGUCGAGUGUAGUAUUGUGUUGUUUCAUGUAGUCGAGUGUAGUUUUGUGUUCUUUCAGGUAGUCUGGUGUACUUUUGUGUUCUUUCAUGUAGUCGAGUGUACUUUUGUGUUCUUUCACGUAGUUUAGUCUAGUUUUGUGUUGUUGCAGGUAGUCCAGUGUAGUUUUGUGUUGUUUCAGGUAGUCUAGUGUAUUUUUUGUUGUUUCACUUAGUCGAGUGUAGUUUUGUGUUGUUUCCUGUAGUCCAGUGUAGUUUUUGUGGUGUUUCAGGUAGUCUAGUGUAAUUUUUGUGUUGUUGCAGGUAGUCCAGUGUAGUUUUGUGGUGUUUCAGGUAGUCGAGUGUAGUUCUGUGUUGUUUCAGGUAGUCGAGUGUAGUUUUGUGUUGUUUCAGGUAGUCAAGUGUAGUUUUGUGUGGUUUCAGGUAGUCAAGUGUAGUUUUGUGUUCUUUCAGGUAGUCGAGUGUAGUUUUGUGUUGUUUCAGGUAGUCUAGUGGAGCUUUGUGUUGCUUCAGAUAGUCUAGUGUAGUUUUUGUGUUGUUGCAGGUAGACCAGUGUAGUUUUGUGGUGUUUCAGGCAGUUGAGUGUAGAUUUGUGUUGUUUCAGGUAGUCUAGUGUAGUUUUUUGUUUUUUCACAUAGAUUAGUCUAGUUUUGUGUUGUUGCAGGUAGUACUGUGUAGUUUUGUGGUGUUUCAGGUAGUCAGUCGAGUGUAGUAUUGUGUUGUUUCAGGUAGUCGAGUGUAGUUUUGUGUUCUUUCAGGUAGUCUAGUGUAGUUUUGCGUUGUUUCAGGUAGUCUGGAGUACUUUUGUGUUCUUUCACAUAGAUUAGUCUAGUUUUCUGUUGUUGCAGGUAGUCGAGUGUAGUUUUGGGUUGUUUCAGAUAGUCCAGUGUAGUUUUGGUUUGUUUCAGUUCGUCUGGUGCAGUUUUGGGUGUUUCAGGUAGCCAACUGUAGUUUUUGCGGUGUUUCAGGUAGUCGAGUGUAGUUUUGUGUUGUUUCAUGUAGUCGAGUGUAGUUUUGUGUUCUUUCAGGUAGUCUGGUGUACUUUUGUGUUCUUUCAUGUAGUCGAGUGUACUUUUGUGUUCUUUCACGUAGUUUAGUCUAGUUUUGUGUUGUUGCAGGUAGUCCAGUGUAGUUUUGUUGUGUUUCAGGUAGUCGAGUGUAGUUUUGUGUUCUUUCAGGUAGUCUAGUGUAGUUUUGUGUUAUUUCAGGCAGCCAACUGUAGUUUUUUGUUGUUUUACAUAGUCGAGUGUAGUUUUUGUGGUGUUUCAGGUAGUCUAGUGUAGUUUUGCAUUGUUUCAGGUAGUCUGGAGUACUUUUCUGUUCUUUCAUGUAGUCGGGUGUACUUUUGUGCUCUUUCACAUAGUUUAGUCUAGUUUUGUGUUGUUGCAGGUAGUCGAGUGUAGUUUUGGGUUGUUUCAGAUAGUCCAUUGUAGUUUUGUGUUGUUUAAGUUCGUCUGGUGCAGUUUUAUGUUGUUUCAGGUAGUCUAGUGUAAUUUUUGUGUUGUUGCAGGUAGUCCAGUGUAGUUUUGUGGUGUUUCAGGUAGUCGAGUGUAGUUCUGUGUUGUUUCAGGUAGUCGAGUGUAGUUUUGUGUUGUUUCAGGUAGUCGAGUGUAGUUUUGUGUUGUUUCAGGUAGUCAAGUGUAGUUUUGUGUGGUUUCAGGUUGUCAAAUGUAGUUUUGUGUUGUUUCAGGUAGUCGAGUGUAGUUUUCUGUUGUUUCAGGUAGUCUAGUGGAGCUUUGUGUUGCUUCAGAUAGUCUAGUGUAGUUUUUGUGUUGUUGCAGGUAGACCAGUGUAGUUUUGUGGUGUUUCAGGCAGUCGAGUGUAGUUUUGUGUUGUUUCAGGUAGUCUAGUGUAGUUUUUUGUUUUUUCACAUAGAUUAGUCUAGUUUUGUGUUGUUGCAGGUAGUACUGUGUAGUUUUGUGGUGUUUCAGGUAGUCGAGUGUAGUAUUGUGUUGUUUCAGGUAGUCGAGUGUAGUUUUGUGUUGUUUCAGGUAGUCUAGUGUAGUUUUUUGUUGUUUCACUUAGUCGAGUGUAGUUUUGUGUUGUUUCCUGUAGUCCAGUGUAGUUUUUGUGGUGUUUCAGGUAGUCUAGUGUAAUUUUUGUGUUGUUGCAGGUAGUCCAGUGUAGUUUUGUGGUGUUUCAGGUAGUCGAGUGUAGUUCUGUGUUGUUUCAGGUAGUCGAGUGUAGUUUUGUGUUGUUUCAGGUAGUCAAGUGUAGUUUUGUGUGGUUUCAGGUAGUCAAGUGUAGUUUUGUGUUCUUUCAGGUAGUCGAGUGUAGUUUUGUGUUCUUUCAGGUAGUCUAGUGGAGCUUUGUGUUGCUUCAGAUAGUCUAGUGUAGUUUUUGUGUUGUUGCAGGUAGACCAGUGUAGUUUUGUGGUGUUUCAGGCAGUUGAGUGUAGAUUUGUGUUGUUUCAGGUAGUCUAGUGUAGUUUUUUGUUUUUUCACAUAGAUUAGUCUAGUUUUGUGUUGUUGCAGGUAGUCCUGUGUAGUUUUGUGGUGUUUCAGGUAGUCGAGUGUAGUAUUGUGUUGUUUCAGGUAGUCGAGUGUAGUUUUGUGUUCUUUCAGGUAGUCUAGUGUAGUUUUGCGUUGUUUCGGGUAGUCUGGAGUACUUUUGUGUUCUUUCACAUAGUUUAGUCUAGUUUUGUGUUGUUGCAGGUAGUCGAGUGUAGUUUUGGGUUGUUUCAGAUAGUCCAGUGUAGUUUUGGUUUGUUUCAGUUCGUCUGGUGCAGUUUUGGGUGUUUCAGGUAGCCAACUGUAGUUUUUGCGGUGUUUCAGGUAGUCGAGUGUAGUUUUGUGUUGUUUCAUGUAGUCGAGUGUAGUUUUGUGUUCUUUCAGGUAGUCUGGUGUACUUUUGUGUUCUUUCACGUAGUUUAGUCUAGUUUUGUGUUGUUGCAGGUAGUCCAGUGUAGUUUUGUGGUGUUUCAGGUAGUCGAGUGUAGUUUUGUGUUCUUUCAGGUAGUCUAGUGUAGUUUUGUGUUAUUUCAGGUAGCCAACUGUAGUUUUUUGUUGUUUCACGUAGUCGAGUGUAGUUUUUGUGGUGUUUCUGGUAGUCUAGUGUAGUUUUGCAUUGUUUCAGGUAGUCUGGAGUUCUUUUGUGUUCUUUCAUGUAGUCGGGUGUACUUUUGUGCUCUUUCACAUAGUUUAGUCUAGUUUUGUGUUGUUGCAGGUAGUUGAGUGUAGUUUUGGGUUAUUUCAGAUAGUCCAUUGUAGUUUUGUGUUGUUUAAGUUCGUCUGGUGCAGUUUUGGGUGUUUCAGGUAGUCCAGUAUAGUUUUUGUGUUGUUGCUGGUAGUCCAGAGUAGUUUUGUGGUGUUUCAGGUAAUCAAGUGUAGUUUUGUGUUGUUUCAGGUAGUCUGGUGUAGUUUUAUGUUGUUUCAGGUAGUCUAGUGUAAUUUUUGUGUUGUUGCAGGUAGUCCAGUGUAGUUUUGUGGUGUUUCAGGUAGUCGAGUGUAGUUUUGUGUUGUUUCAGGUAGUCGAGUGUAGUUUUGUGUUGUUUCAGGUAGUCAAGUGUAGUUUUGUGUGGUUUCAGGUUGUCAAGUGUAGUUUUGUGUUGUUUCAGGUAGUCGAGUGUAGUUUUGUGUUGUUUCAGGUAGUCUAGUGGAGCUUUGUGUUGCUUCAGAUAGUCUAGUGUAGUUUUUGUGUUGUUGCAGGUAGACCAGUGUAGUUUUGUGGUGUUUCAGGCAGUCGAGUGUAGUUUUGUGUUGUUUCAGGUAGUCUCGUGUAGUUUUUUGUUUUUUCACAUAGAUUAGUCUAGUUUUGUGUUGUUGCAGGUAGUCCUGUGUAGUUUUGUGGUGUUUCAGGUAGUCGAGUGUAGUAUUGUGUUGUUUCAGGUAGUCGAGUGUAGUUUUGUGUUGUUUCAGGUAGUCUAGUGGAGCUUUGUGUUGCUUCAGAUAGUCUAGUGUAGUUUUUGUGUUGUUGCAGGUAGACCAGUGUAGUUUUGUGGUGUUUCAGGCAGUCGAGUGUAGUUUUGUGUUGUUUCAGGUAGUCUAGUGUAGUUUUGUGUUGUUUCAGGUAGUCCAGUGCAGUUUUGCGUUGUUUCAGGUAGUCUGGUGUACUUUUGUGCUCUUUCACAUAGUUUAGUCUAGUUUUGUGUUGUUGCAGGUAGUCCAGUGUAGUUUUGUGGUGUUUCAGGCAGUAGAGUGUAGUUUUUGGGGUGUUUCAGGUAGUCUGGUGUAGUUUUUGGGGUGUUUCAGGUAGCCAAAUGUAGUUUUUGGGGUGUUUCAGGUAGUCGAGUGUAGUAUUGUGUUGUUUCAUGUAGUCGAGUGUAGUUUUGUGUUCUUUCAGGUAGUCUGGUGUACUUCUGUGUUCUUUCACGUAGUUUAGUCUAGUUUUGUGUUGUUGCAGGUAGUCCAGUGUAGUUAUGUGGUGUUUCAGGUAGUCGAGUGUAGUAUUGUGUUGUUUCAGGUAAUCUAGUGUAGUUUUGCGUUGUUUCAGGUAGUCUGGUGUACUUUUGUGUUCUUUCAUGUAGUCGAGUGUACUUUUGUGUUCUUUCACGUAGUUUAGUCUAGUUUUGUGUUGUUGCAGGUAGUCCAGUGUAGUUUUGUGGUGUUUCAGGUAGUCGAGUGUAGUUUUGUGUUCUUUCAGGUAGUCUAGUGUA